rnacentral:rRNA from 1 species
GAUGAACGCUGGCGGCGUGCCUAAUACAUGCAAGUCGAGCGAAUGACGAGGAGCUUGCUCCUCUGAUUUAGCGGCGGACGGGUGAGUAACACGUGGGUAAUCUGCCUGUAAGACGGGGAUAACUCCGGGAAACCGGGGCUAAUACCGGAUAUCAAAAGAAGAUGAAUAUCUUAUUUUUGAAAGUAGGUUUCGGCUGACACUUACAGAUGAGCCCCCGGCGCAUUAGCUAGUUGGUGAGGUAACGGCUCACCAAGUCGACGAUGCGUAGCCGACCUGAGAGUGUGAUCGGCCACACUGGGACUGAGACACGGCCCAGACUCCUACGGGAGGCAGCAAUAGGGAAUCUUCGGCAAUGGGCGAAAGCCUGACCGAGCAACGCCGCGUGAGCGAUGAAGGCCUUCGUGUCGUAAAGCUCUGUUGUUAGAGAAGAACAAGUACGAGAGUAACUGCUCGUACCUUGACGGUACCUAACCAGAAAGCCACGGCUAACUACGUGCCAGCCGCCGCGGUAAGAC